rnacentral:tRNA from 1 species
AUUCAAAUAGCUUAUAAAGAGUGUAACACUGAAGAUGUUAAGGAGAUAUUAUAUCUUUGAAUG